rnacentral:sRNA from 1 species
UCCUCCCAGUGCACAGGCUGGUUGGAGUUUCUCUGGGGACCCCUUUCCACCUGGCUGUCUCACUUCUUUCUUCAUGGAACAUUCUCUUUCCUUAGCUUCUUUUUUAUCAUUGUCUUUCAAUAUUUAUUAUUCCUCUCUGGCUGUGCUCAGUUUUUCCUUCAUCUUGUCUUUAAAUGUGUGUAUUCUAGAGGCCCAGCCCUGGGCCCUCUUUUCAUUCCCCUGAGUCCUCUUUCUCCCUGGUAGAUAAUCAUGCCUAAUAAUGUUUUGGUACAUCCAUAAACCUACCAAUCCUGAUGAACCUCCAGUUGCUGAACAGCCCAAACCACUGUACCCAUAUCGAACAAUUGGUUGUGUUUUCAACCAUCAGAUGUUCCUGGGAAAUUGUCAACCCUCUGAUGCAGUAGAAACCUGUGUAUUUGAUUUGAAUGAUGAAUCCAAAUGGAAACCCAUGAGUGAGGAAGCAAUUAAAUCUGUGUGUGCUCCUGGAGCUACAACAUCCCUUCCUCCCUUUCCACCUCUGUGUGCAUCCACAAUUGACGCAUCAGUAACAAGUAAUGAAAUUGAAAUGCAGCUGAGGCUCCUGGUGUCAGAACACAGGAAGGAUCUUGGUCUCACUACUGUUUGGGAAGACCAGCUCUCCUACCUUUUAUCACCAGCUUUGGCUUCUUAUGAAUUUGAGCGUACAACAAGUAUAUCAGCAGGCAAUGAAGAAUUUCAAGAUGCCAUAAGAAGGGCUGUACCUGAUGGUCACACAUUUAAAGGGUUCCCAAUACAUUUUGUGUAUAGAAAUGCAAGACGUGCAUUUGCCACAUGUCUUCG